AAUUUUCCACUCCCUAACCCACCCACAUGUGAUUGUGUCCUGAAUUCUUGGUGUGUGACGAUGAACCCCAGGGUGUAUACCCCAGACAGCACAGCCACUUCACCAGCAGGGACAGCAGCUGUCACAUGAACUGGAGAUGAACUGGAGGCUGCUUCAUGACAAGAGGUUCCAUGCUGACAGCAUCUGGGGAAACCUCGCUGGGCCUCGGAGGUCCUUCCUAUGGGUGAUAUGCCACCCACCCUGGGUCGAGAGUCAGAGAAGCGCGGCCGGUCCCACUGCUGGCUUCGCCUGCCUGUUUCCCACAGCUUCCCUCUAGUCAUCCACCUACACCUGCUGCCCAGUUCCCUAGAAACCUGCCUAGUGUAAAAGGAAGCAACUCUGGAGAACAGAAUGAGAAAUCAGAAAGCAAGGCCCUGUCCUCUGAGUUCUGUCCUGGAUGGGGACUGAGGAAGGUUUAUGUGGUCCAGAGAGGCUGCAUCAGUCUCAGGCCCCUAAGCCUUGCCUGGUUCAACAGUAUUAUUUCACUCACGCUGGUCACCCCAUUGUUAGAAAGAGCAAGGAAAGGAGGAUGAGAAAGGAAGAGAGGGAGGGAGAAAAUUGUCCCCAAGAAAAGGAAACUAUUGUCUGGUAAGAUUCAGCCCACUUUUCUUGUUAAAUGAUGUGAAUUCAAAUUGUUGAUAUAUAUCACCAACUUGACAUGUGAAACUAUUGUCUCAAAGCAUAUUAUAAAAUACUAUAUAUGAAAACAUUGACAAAUAUACUGUAGUUGAUGAGUACCAGAUAUGAUUAUUGUUCUUUUCAUGUGUGAUUACAGGUGAUGGACAGAUGGUUUCCUCAAUUUAUAUAAAUACAACUUAGAAUCUCAUUAGUCAGUACAAUUUUCUGAAGGAGCAACGUGGAUGAACAGAGGCUAGAUUCCAGAGCCCAGAGACGUUAAUGGAUGUGCAGGAGAUGGAGAAAUAGAAUCUACAAGGAAAGUGAAACGAACAAGCUUGGAAAGCAGGAACGCUUCAAGAAUUUGAUGUACAGCAAGAUGGUUAUUUAUCAAAAAGAGAAAAGGGCAAGAAAAAGUUGGGGAAGCCAAGUU
rnacentral:lncRNA from 1 species